UACGUAGGGGGGCAAGCGUUGUCCGGAUUUAUUGGGCGUAAAGAGCGUGUAGGCGGCUUUACAGGUCCGUUGUGAAAACUCGAGGCUCAACCUCGAGACGCCGGUGGAAACCGUAAGGCUAGAGUCCGGAAGAGGAGAGUGGAAUUCCCGGUGUAGCGGUGAAAUGCGCAGAUAUCAGGAGGAACACCGGUGGCGAAGGCGGGUCUCCGGCGGACGAGCUGACUGCGCUGGAGGAGCGAAAGCGUGGGGAGCGAACAGG
rnacentral:rRNA from 1 species